rnacentral:rRNA from 1 species
AUUGAACGCUGGCGGCAGGCCUAACACAUGCAAGUCGAACGAGUGGCGGACGGUUGAGUAAUGUCUGGGAAACUGCCUGAUGGAGGGGGCUAACUACUGGAAACGGUAGCUAAUACCGCAUACCAUCGGAUGUUCCCAGAUGGGAUUAGCUAGUGGGUGGGGUAACGGCUCACCUAGGCGACGAUCCCUAGCUGGUCUGAGAGGAUGACCAGACACACUGGAACUGAGAAACGGUCCAGACGCCUACGAGAGGCAGCAGUGGGGAAUAUUGCAGACUGGGCGCAAGCCUGAUGCAGCAAUGCCGCGUGUAUGAAGAAGGACUUCGGGUUGUAAAGUGCUGGCAGCGGGGAGGCGUUACCCGCAGAAGAAGCACCGGCUAACUACGUGCCAGCAGCCGCGGUAAUUC